rnacentral:rRNA from 1 species
CUAUGGUGGAUGCUGCAGUUAAAGGGUCCGUAGUCGUGAAUGCAAUUAAAUGUCGUUGUUCAAUAGCGAUGAGUUUGCUGAUGUUUGCGGAACGGAUAGGGAGUGUAGUAUAGACUGGCGAAGAAUGAAAUCUCAAGACCCAGUUUGGACUAACGGAGGCGAAGGCGACACUCUUAGACGUAUCUUAGGAUCAAGGACGAAGGCAGGAGUAUCGAAAGUGAUUAGACACCGCUGUAGUUCCUGCAGUAAACUAUGCCGACAGCCUGUGUGUGAGAAUACGUGGGCGGGAGAAAUCUUAGUGUUCGGGCUCUGGGGAUAGUACGCUCGCAAGGGUGAAACUUAAAGCGAAAUUGACGGAAGGACACUACCAGGAGUGGAUUGUGCUGCUUAAUUUAACUCAACGCGGGAAAACUUACCAGGGUCAAGUCAUUCGU